GGGCUGUUAGCUCAGCUGGUUAGAGCGCUACGUUGACAUCGUAGAGGUCACAGAUUCGAAUUCUGUACAGCCCA
rnacentral:tRNA from 1 species